CAAAGAAUAGUUUAGCUUAGAAUCCUAGCUUUGGGAGUUAGGGGUGGGAGUUAGAGUCUCCUUUCUUUGA
rnacentral:tRNA from 1 species